CAUGCAGUGAUGAGACAAAGCACCGUAGGGGUGUAAUAGGGCAGUGGAAGAAGGUUUUGAAAGCCUUUUCCGUGAGCUCAUUUAAUUAACGACUUCUCCUUCCACUGAGCAUA
rnacentral:snoRNA from 1 species